UGAAACUUCUUACGUAAAAUUUAACGAUAGAAUGACUACCGGAAUGAUACUGCUUCGAGAACAUACUAGGCAAACAGAUUGAUUACAGUUUGCUGCAUGCAUUUUCCAUUUACCGAAUAAGUUAAAAAUAACUUCAAUCUACAAUAAAGUCUAAACAGGUACCCGGUUAAGUUAAUGAUAUUAUGACAG